CACCCAGGUUAUGGUGUCAUAAUAGUAAGUUUUCAGUAAAAAAAAAAAAAGAAAAACAAUUACUUCAUGACUUUAAUCAGUGAAUUCUAUUUCCCAUAACAAAGAAACAUCCAAAAUAUACACAUUUUCUUGCUUCACCUCCCUCAUAUUCCGAGACCCCAAAAUCUGAAAAUUAAUAUGAUUGCCGUUGUGCAAGGAUAACGCGGUUAUAAAAAUGAUAAUUGUUUAUGUGAAACCAUGUUUUAUAUAUUUUUGGGUAAAUAUUAGGUGCGGGUAAAUUUUUAUCGGAUGUGUACCCCAGAUUUGCCUAGUUAAAAAUUAUCUUCGGUUUCGGAGAUUUAGAGGUGUUUUGUUGAAGGGGGAAAGUCUUGGCAUAACUGGUAAAGUUGUUGUCAUAUGAUCAGGAGGUCACGAUUUCAGGCUGUAGAUUGCAGAAAUAUAGGGUGAGGUUGCGUAGAAUAAAUCCUUAUGAUCCGACUUUUCUUCGAACCCUGCGCAUGUUGGAAGAGGAUUGCUAUUAAUAUUUGGAGGAAGGUUUUUAGGCUAAGGGAAUUUUGGAAGAGUAGAAAGAUUUUGGAGAAGAGAAACUUUUAUUACUCAAACUUGUUUUUGAUAUUUUUUGGCUUGAUAUGUUGUGUUUUGUGUGUUAUACAAAUGCCAAAUGCCAUCCCAUAUUUAUAGGGGAGGCUUGCCAAGCUCUUGAGUGUCUAGAGAGUUCUACCACUUCCUAGCUUUGUACAUGUGCUAGAAUUCUAUGGAGAAUUCUAGAGAGUCUAGAGAGUUCUACUACUUUCUAGCUAGGUACAUGUGCUAGAAUUCUAUGGAGAAUUNNNN
rnacentral:lncRNA from 1 species